GACGAACGCUGGCGGCGUGCUUAACACAUGCAAGUCGAACGGAAAGGCCCUGCUUUUGUGGGGUGCUCGAGUGGCGAACGGGUGAGUAACACGUGAGUAACCUGCCCUUGACUUUGGGAUAACUUCAGGAAACUGGGGCUAAUACCGGAUAGGAGCUCCUGCUGCAUGGGGGGGGUUGGAAAGUUUCGGCGGUUGGGGAUGGACUCGCGGCUUAUCAGCCUGUUGGUGGGGUAGGGGCUUACCAAGGCUUUGACGGGUAGCCGGCCUGAGAGGGUGACCGGCCACAUUGGGCCUGAGAGACGGCCCAGACUCCUACGGGAGGCAGCAGUGGGGAAUAUUGCACAAUGGGCGGAAGCCUGAUGCAGCAACGCCGCGUUCGGGAUGACGGCCUUCGGGUUGUAAACCGCUUUCGCCUGUGACGAAGCGUGAGUGACGGUAAUGGGUAAAGAAGCACCGGCUAACUACGUG
rnacentral:rRNA from 1 species